rnacentral:rRNA from 1 species
CCAAUAGCGUAUAUUAAAGUUGUUGCAGUUAAAAAGCUCGUAGUUGAACUUCGGGGUCUACCCAUUGGUCAGGCUUAAUUGUCUGCACUGGUGAGAUGGAUCUCUACCUUCUGAGGAACUUUCAUGCCAUUUAUUUGGUGUGAUUGGAAAUCAGGACUGUUACUUUGAAAAAAUUAGAGUGUUUAAAGCAGACUAUCGUCUGAAUACAUUAGCAUGGAAUAAUGAAAUAGGACGGACUGAUUCUAUUUCGUUGGUUUCUAGGAUCACCGUAAUGAUUAAUAGGGAUGGUUGGGGGCAUUAGUAUUCAAUUGUCAGAGGUGAAAUUCUUGGAUUUAUUGAAGACUAACUACUGCGAAAGCAUUUGCCAAGGAUGUUUCCAUUAAUCAAGAACGAAAGUUAGGGGAUCGAAGACGAUCAGAUACCGUCGUAGUCUUAACCAUAAACUAUGCCGACUAGGGAUCGGACGAAGUUAAUUUUAUAAUGACGCGUUCGGCACCUUACG